rnacentral:rRNA from 1 species
AGUGAACGCUGGCGGUAGGCCUAACACAUGCAAGUCGAACGGCAGCACAGUAAGAGCUUGCUCUUACGGGUGGCGAGUGGCGGACGGGUGAGGAAUACAUCGGAAUCUACUUUUUCGUGGGGGAUAACGUAGGGAAACUUACGCUAAUACCGCAUACGACCUACGGGUGAAAGCAGGGGAUCUUCGGACCUUGCGCGAUUGAAUGAGCCGAUGUCGGAUUAGCUAGUUGGCGGGGUAAAGGCCCACCAAGGCGACGAUCCGUAGCUGGUCUGAGAGGAUGGUCGCCAAAACGGAAAAGGGAACAGGGCCACGACCCUCAGGGGGGGCAGCAGGGGGAAAAUUUGGAAAAGGGGCGCAGGCCUGACCCACCCAAACCGGGGGGGUGAAGAAGGCCUUCGGGUUGUAAAGCCUUUUUGUUGGGAAAAAAAAGCAGCAGGUUAAACCCCCGCUGUUCUGACGGUACCAAAAGAAAAAGCACCGGCUAACUUCGU